UACAUCGAUGAGAUAAGUAUCGAUAUCAAUGUGGAAUCUAUCGUCAAGUGACUAAAGGGAUUGUUAGGGAUGACUAGCAAGCGUAUCAGAAGAGAAGUGGAAACACUAAAUGGACUAAACACGUCCGAUCUCAAGGGAAACCAUAUAGCACAUAUGUGUAUGACUACGGACUGAACCGAAACAUCGUAGUAAGUCUAGGAAAGGAAAUCAACCGAGACCCUGUCAGUAGCGGCGAGCGAACGCAGGAUAGCCUAGUAAUAGUGACUAGUAGAUCCAAUACUCUGGAAUGGGUAGAAGCAUAGUAAUAUGUACCAUAGAAGGUUAUAGUCCUGUAGAACUACUACUCUAUUACAACUAGCUAAGGACCUUAAUUUCGUAUGAAGUUCUGGCAUCUUAGUGAGUAGGGCGGCAUCAAACCUGCCCGAAUAAGGGUGCACCAUCAUCCAAGGCUAAGUAUGAUACGUUUAGCGAUAGUGAAUAGUACUGUGAAGGAAUUCUCCGGUUGUACCGGUUAAUCAUUGUAUUUUGCAGCAAACAGCGGGUUUUAUGGCUCCAUACUAUACAUCUACUAACCAAUGAAACAAACAAACACAAGCCUUUUAGCUAUUCUAGCUACUCUAGUUACGUCAUGCGUAAUCUAUAAUUUACCUCUGGAAUUUGUAUCGCUACCAUCAUACAUCAAGUGUUUCCCUGACUUAACAAGCAUGGAACAUAUUGAUGCACUACGAUUUGCAUACAAGGGUACUUACUUUGGUCUAGUGUAUGGUAUUUAUAAUACAUUUACUCACCAGAUCUAUGUAGGUAGUACCCAAGAUCCUAGUACCCGAUUCUACUCUCAUCUAGUGUCAGGAGUCAACAGUAACGUUCAUCUUCGUAAUUCUAUUGCUAAGUAUGGGCUUGCUAACUUCUGUGUCAUUAUCUUUGAAGUGUUAGCAAUUGGUGCUAAUUUCACUCCAUUCCAUCUAUUCGCGCUGGAACAGAAGUACUUAGACUACUACCCUAAGCGUCAAAAGUAUAAUGUUAACCUCAUUGCAGGUGGUGGUCGACUGCCUAUGACAGAGGCAGAAAAACUAGAUACAAGCAAACGUAUGAUGGGUGUGAAUGUAGGCCGAGCUCCUAUCAACAAGGGGAAGAAGCUUACAAAAGCUGCCAAAGACGUAAUUUGGAAGGCUUCCGCUCAUCGACGUCACAUUGUAUACAUUUACGAUGACAUGCUUAACUUAGUAGGAAUGUAUCCUUCUAUUUCUCAGGCAGUACGUGUAGAACACACUCAAAAGAAUGUAUUCAUCGAUCAUAUGAAGAAUGGUACAUUAUGGCGAGGCUACUACGUAACUAAAGUUCCUAAACAUUAGGACUUACUUCACCCCCUUUUUCCGUUUCAUUGUUAGUAAUAGUAGCUGCAUGUACAUAAUUAAUUUCCUAGUUAUGAAGUAAUUCAUAACAUUGCACCAAGCUAAAUUCUGGAAAGCUCUAAGGACCAUAGUACUACUAGAGUAGUUCCAACUAAUGGUAUGAACAAUGAGUGAUCAGCAGGUAACGUAUACCUCAGAGACUACAAGCAGGCUCCUGUAAGCCAUCUAAUUCAGUAUGGCGAUCAGGAUGAAGAUAUAGUCCGAGGUUGGAUAGAUCAAAUGCUAUCAGCGAUAGUGACAGAUCUCCAACUUUGAAGUUUAAAAGAAAGUCGAUGACUAGUGAAAUAGAGCCUGAACUAGCAAUCCUAUAAGCAGACAGAGCAUUAAUAUGUGAUGUCGUACCUUUUGCAUAAUGGGUCAGCAAGUUUGUGUUGCAGGUAAGGUGUGAGCCCUAGCGAAAGCGACUAUCUGUGAUCGCAAUCACGGAUGGGUUAAAUCUGCAGUACAAGACCCGAAACAUCUUGAUCUAUCCAUGGGCAGGUAUAUAGGACCGAACCAGUGUACGUUGCAUAGUACUUGGAUGACCUGUGGAUAGGAGUGAAAUGCUAAUCUAAAGAUGUGAUAGCUGGUUCUCUGCGAAAUGCAUUGCAGUGCAGCGUCAAUGUAAGGUUAUGGUAGGUACAGCACUGAUUGACAUACGGUUAUACCGUAGACUAGGGGGGCGUAACAGCUCUAUCUAGGUCAGUUAACCUCGGAAUGACCAUAAGUGAUCAUUGGCAGUGAGUCCUAGGGUGAUAAGGUCUUAGGACGAGAGGGAAACAGCCCAAACAGUGUGUUAAGGUCCCAAAGAUAUUGACAAGUGAAAUUAAGGAAGUGCAUUGCUUUAGACAGCCAUGAUGUGGGAUUGGAAGCGUCCAUCAUUUAAAGAAAGCGUAACAGCUCAGUGGUCUAUCUCUAAAGUAAUUUAGAAUGGCAGUGUGCGCCGAAGAUAUACCGGGUCUAAUCAAUACACCAAUACCACUGUCUAGUAUCUAUAUUCAUUAUCGAUACUAAGAGGUAGCAGAGCGUCCAGUACCUAUGAAGAGCAGUAUGUUAUUGUUUGGAGGUCACUGGAGUGAGGAUGCUGGCAUGAGUAGCAAGAAUGGAUGUUAAAUCAUCCACACCGAAAGAGGAAGGGUUCUGAGGGCAAGUUACACUGCCUCAGGUCAUAAGCGGUGUCUAAGGAGUUAGCCAAUGCGAAGCUCUGAUGAUUAUGUUGCAGAACGGGCUCAUUACUGAGACCCAGGAAAAUAAUGCAACUUUACUACCGUACCUUAAACCGACACAGGUCCUCGGGUAGAGUAUACUAAGGUGACGAGAUAACCAAGCUUAAGGAACUCGGCAAACUGAUCUCGUACGUUCGACAAUAAGAGAUGCCUUUGUACUGUUUAGGCAGUAUGAGGGUGGCACAGAAUCAGGGAGUGCGACUGUUUACUCAAAACACAGCAGCCUGCUAACACUAACGUGGUCGUAUAGGUUGUGAUUCCUGUCCGGUGUCUCGCGAUAAAGUUAUGAUGUGUAUGGCUUACCAUGUACAUUGAACUAGAAGUCGAGAUAAACGACGGUCUUAACUAUAAGGAUCCUAAGGUAGCAAAAUGCCUUGGCCACUAAUUAUGGUCUUGCAUGAAUGGAAUAGAUUAUCGCAGUUCCAUGGCUCCAUGCAACUAUCUUUGAGGAAACUCAAAAAUAUAGGAAUGAGCCAAUAAUGUCAAUAUAUGCUGGAAUGGCUUGAUAUCUAAUUGCUCAAAAUGAGAUACACUAUUAGAUUUAGCUGAUCAGCAGUGGUACAUAAUACCACUCAGAGACUUUCAUGACACAUAUGAACUUCAUAUGAUUGUAGAGUCCUGGAGAGAAGAAAUUCUCUCUUGAGCGAUGCUCCUACUGUCUUAAGCUUGGGCUCGGUGAAAUUGAAUUAGCCGUGCAGAUGCGGUUUACCACCAGAUAGACGGGAAGACCCUAUGCAACUUUACUAUAGCUAGGCAUUGUACUAGGCCAUCACUUGUCACAGGUAUGAGGUAGCUGAUAAAGCGUAAGUGAGAGACCUCAACAAGUCAUGGUCAGACUUACCUUGGUAAUAAGCCAAGGGACAUUGCCUAGUGGGUAGUUUUACUGGGACGGUACCCUCCAAGAAAGCAUCGGAGGGGUCCAAUAGGUACACAUAGCUUAGCCGGAGACUAAGUGGCUAUGAAGAGCCAAUAACAGCAUAAUGGCAAAAGUGUGCUAAACUGUAAGACUGACAGGUCAAUCAGGUACGUAAGUAGGGCAUAGUGAACCGAUAGUAUGUUAUGGUACAGCUAUCGUUCAUCGGAUAAGUUACGCUAGGGAUAACAGGCUGAUAGCGCGAAAGAGUUCAUAUCGUAAGCGCUGUUUGGCACCUCGAUGUCGACUCAUCACAUCCUCCUGGUGUAUCAGCUAGGAAGGGUUCAACUGUUCGUUGAUUAAAGUGGUACGUGAGUUGGGUUUAAUACGACGUGAGUCAGUAUAGUCCCUAUCUUCUGGUGGGACAUGUAGACGAAGAAGAACAUCUGGUUAGUACGAAAGGACCAUCAGGUGCGCACCUCUGGUGUAUCUGCUAUAGUUCAUUGACUGUACUGCAGAGUAGCUACGUGCGUUAAGGAUAAGACCUGAAAGCAUAUAAGGUCGAAGCUGCUCUUUGGAGGCUAAACAGCAACGGGAUGUAGACCACGUCCUUGAUAGGUCACAUGUGUAAGCUCCGUUAAGGAGUGAGCUGAGUGAUACUAAUGUGUUGCAUGACUUGACGAUACCAC
rnacentral:rRNA from 1 species